UAGGGAAUCUUCCACAAUGGACGCAAGUCUGAUGGAGCAACGCCGCGUGAGUGAAGAAGGCUUUCGGGUCGUAAAACUCUGUUAUUGAAGAAGAACGUGUGUGACAGUAACUGGUCAUGCAGUGACGGUAUUCAAUCAGAAAGUCACGGCUAACUACGUGCCAGCAGCCGCGGUAAUACGUAGGUGGCAAGCGUUGUCCGGAUUUAUUGGGCGUAAAGCGAGUGCAGGCGGUCUUUUAAGUCUGAUGUGAAAGCCUUCGGCUUAACCGAAGAAGGGCAUCGGAAACUGGGAGACUUGAGUGCAGAAGAGGAGAGUGGAACUCCAUGUGUAGCGGUGAAAUGCGUAGAUAUAUGGAAGAACACCAGUGGCGAAGGCGGCUCUCUGGUCUGUAACUGACGCUGAGGCUCGAAAGCGUGGGUAGCAAACAGGAUUAGAUACCCUGGUAGUCCACGCCG
rnacentral:rRNA from 1 species